GAUGAACGCCGGCGGCGUGCCUAAUACAUGCAAGUCGAGCGAACAGAUGAGAAGCUUGCUUCUCUGAUGUUAGCGGCGGACGGGUGAGUAACACGUGGGUAACCUACCUAUAAGACUGGGAUAACUCCGGGAAACCGGGGCUAAUACCGGAUAAUAUUUUGAACCGCAUGGUUCGAUAGUGAAAGACGGUUUCGGCUGUCACUUAUAGAUGGACCCGCGCCGUAUUAGCUAGUUGGUAAGGUAACGGCUUACCAAGGCGACGAUACGUAGCCGACCUGAGGGGGUGAUCGGCCACACUGGAACUGAGACACGGUCCAGACUCCUACGGGAGGCAGCAGUAGGGAAUCUUCCGCAAUGGGCGAAAGCCUGACGGAGCAACGCCGCGUGAGUGAUGAAGGUCUUCGGAUCGUAAAACUCUGUUGUUAGGGAAGAACAAAUUUGUUAGUAACUGAACAAGUCUUGACGGUACCUAACCAGAAAGCCACGGCUAACUACGUGCCAGCCGCCGCCGUAA
rnacentral:rRNA from 1 species